UUUUUUUUUUUUUUUUUUUUGGUUUCCAAAGAAGAUAAAAUAACUAUUUGACAAGGAGGAUAAAAUAUAACUUGAAAACUAAGGGUGGGAUAGCAAUUUUGAUCUACCCACUUCCUCUAUCCCACACCCUAAUUUUUUAUCUCCUCAUUUCUCCAUACUCUCAUGCAGUAAUAAACUCACAUACUACACUUAAAAAAAAACUCACAUACUACAGUUUUUUUAUAGAGUAAAAUCGUCAUAAUUAUACGCAUAGAUAUGCAUUACGUGGGUAAAUGAUACACAAUGAUUAGAUUAGAGUGAUGAAGUAUUGCUAUCAUCUUCAUGAACCUUAUUUAAUUAAAAUUAAAACCAAUAAUCAUAUAUCAAAAUGUGUUGAAAAUAGACGAGUGUGGUUCACUUGUCAAAUUAAGUUUGAACAAUGUAUGCUUUACCAAACUUAGAGCAUACGCAUAAUAAAGUUCAUCUCCUUUUACCUUAUUUUCUUUGUCGUUUUUUCUACUUUUUACAAUAAUAAAUCACAUAUGCUUAUCUGAAAUGACUUAAUUUUCCCCAAAAACAAUAGCAGUAACUUAGAAGAGCAUCUUUAAAAGAAGCUCUAAAUUUUUGUUAAACUAGUAAGUAAACAGAGUUAAAAACUAUUUUAUUUACUCAAUUUAACUUUUCAUAUCUGACAACACUUUCUAUUCUAACAAGCUUUGAAUAUUUUAUUAUUAACAAUUCAAACUCAAUUCACUCAUUUUCUAAAACAGUUUUUAUACUCUUCAUUUUCUCCUUACUCAGGAGUCCACUCUUGAGUUUUAUUAUUCUUUAAUAUUUAACUUAUGAACAAUUGCUUUGUAAAUUUAACAAGUGACUAUUCAUUUUAAUGUCAUAGAAACUCUUUUACCAAGCUUGUUAGAGAUGUAUUUUUUUUUUUCUAAAUUCAACUCUUAGAAUAAAAUUUUGGUUGUUUUACCGCAUCUAUUGGAGAUGCUCCAAGUAGCAGCCGCGUACCCUAAAUUUGACAGAUUUAAAACUUUUUUCAGUCGAUGAAUACAAUUAGUUUUGAUUUGGAAGGCAUAGCUAUUGGUUAAGCCUAGAGGUUAAACAUGUGGUCCAAACAAAUCAUGGUCCAUAUCAAAAACCUUUGACGUGGAGGUGUUAUGUCCUCCCAUACCAAACGCAAUAAUCACACUGUUAUCCUUAAUAAAAUCACUCUUAUUUAUUAUGGAGGAUAAUAUUGUUACUCAAAUUUAAUUCUAUUUCCUCAAUUACUUAAUCAUCCAAAGGCCAAAGCUUUUGAGAGGGAGGGAGAGAGAGAUUGAUACCUAAAUCUUUUUAAUUGAUAUAAAAACUGCUUGAGCCUCAAGCAAGCACAUCGUUUCAACCAAAAUUCAUAAUAUAAAAUAAUAAAUAGACCUUUUAUUGUUAAAGAGAAACCGUUGCCUGCUUCAGGUUGUAUUUCAGGGCAUUUUAUAUUUUGGUAUAUCUAAUUGUCAAAAUCCUUUGUCAAGAACUGCUAACUUUGAAAAUUAUUGAGUAUAGAAUACUUCGGAACGUUAUAAUAUUUUUAUUCUUUUGAGCAAUUGAUGAUUAACAAGAUUUAUUUGUGAGUGAAAGAAAAAUUUACAUAAAAUAAAUUUAUUGUCACGUUCAUUUUAUGUAAAUUGAUUUCUCAUGAUACAGUAGGAAUGCACUAUGCAUUUUGUUAGAAGGAUGAAUGUCAGGACUGGGGACCCCGGAGACCCACAAGUCAUUUCACAAGAUUUAUGGAGAUAACAAUUGGGUACGUGGGGCAAUUGGAUCGAUGGUUACCAUCAACCCUACGAAAGCUUCGAAAUUUUUUUGAAUCGUCCACUUGUGGGUUUGUUGGACUCCAUAUAAUCGCCUGCCGUAAAACAUUAGGGUUCCUCCUAGAAGUGGGUUGACUCAAAACUCGGGUUUUUUACACAUUCCGCAGGCUAGGUCAAUUAGCAAGAUCAUAGAACACAUAACUUGAUGAUUAGAUUUCUUGUUUAAAUUAUUAAAGAUGAUAUUCAAUCAUCAACCGUUACAUUCUAUGAUCUACAAAAUAUCGCAUGAAGUAUUAUCAGUAACAUUUUACUUAUUGUUCAUCUUGUUGUCAUUAAAGUUUGACACUUAGCACUAAAGUUUAGUGCUACUCUAUUUAUAAGUUGGAAGUCCUCGAUUCGACUUUCAUUGAUAAUGAGUUUGACACCAAAUUAUUGUAGCUAAUUUAUCAUGUGCUGAGCAAAAAUUCUCUACUCCUAAGUGUAAAUUGGUAGUUGUAUUAAAAAAGAAAUUUUUGUGAAGUUUAACUUGAAAAUUUACCUAAAAAUAUUUAGAAAUUCAGAGGGAAUAUCUGCGUUAUGAUUUCAUGGUUGAAUUAAAAAAUAAAUAAAAUAAAUAAAAAGUAGGGGUCUAACCUCCAUAUCCAAAAUUUGCAAUGUCUCAUCUCGAGUGGUUGCGGUUUCAUCGUCGUCAUAAAGUUGAGAACAGUACCCCUCACAGUCCCUUAUUUUGGCUCCACCGGCCGGUUCUAUUAUUUUAUCAUAUUACAAAUCUCAGAUCAAUUAUUAUCUGCCUAAAUUAAUAUUAAUUCUUUUUAUGAAUUAAUUAAAUAGAAGGUAACAAAUCUUUGAAUCGUUGGUUCUCUAUGGGUGCGUUUGGUACGCAGACGGGACGGGACAGGACGGAACGAAUGUGUAAUUUUUGAAAAAGACAUGGGGUAUAUUUGUCUUAAAAUAGUAAAACAUUGUGUUCCACAGACGUGGAACAAACCCGUUCCAGAGGGGGGAGGUGGAACGCAAAAACACCAAAAAUGUUCCACCCAUUUUUGGCGCACCAAACGCGGGACGGAACGCCUCGUCCCGUUCCGUCCCGUCCCGUCCCACGUACCAAACGCACCCUAUAUGAUGUCUGUAGCAUAUAGGGCGGGAUGGGUCCAAGCUAACAAGAUCCCCGGCACAACUGAUGGAGAAAGCUUCUUGCUCAAACCUACCCUAAAAAGGGUUAAAUCUUCUAUAUUUUAAUCUCAUCCGAUUCCACGCAAACAUCGAUUCAACUUGAGAGCUUCCUUAGUAAACAGUAAGGUUGUCAUAUCGAUGAUUUGCUCCUACCCAGGACCCGGAAAGCUAUUCAAGUUGCAUGCGUGUGCACUUGAUUACGUUGCAUUUUGUUAAACUUUGAAUAAAAGAAACGAUUGACUCGCUAAAAGCCUACAUGAAUACUUCAAAAGUCCAGAAUCACCUCCAACCUUUAGAUAAAGUAACAUCACAAAUUCAGAAUUCACCAAACAAAACACCAAAAUCCAGCUCAAUCUAUACAAAAUACAUCAUAUGACGGAUGGAUUUUUAUAUAUUUUUUCGGUACAAGUAAUAUAUUAAUUGAAACAAACAAGAUAUAUACCACGUUUCUUGGAUUUGGAACUUUGUCUUGAUUUAUUUUAGUCAUUGUCAUGCAUGACUCAUAACCUACGCCAAUAACGCGCCUUUUUUUUUAUCAUGUAUUAAUCUGCAAGCCAGUAUGUCAUGUAUAAAUGAUAUAAUAUGCAUCAUUUUACGGUUUUAAACAGUUUAGAUUAAACAUUAAAAAAGUUAAACGGAUGGAUUAGAUAAUUCAGGUGGGAAUUGGAUCCCAUUUGGAUCCACUUUGUGGGGAUCCUAGGGAUCUAGACAUCUUAGUUAUUUAUCUUAUAUUGUGCGAUCAGAAAUCAUUUGACUUUUUUUUUUUUUAAAAUUAAACACAAAUAGUAUCUGACGAAAACUAGCAACAUAAUAUACGAUGAACGGUUAGGAUGUAAGGAUCCCUAAGUUCCUCACAAAGUGGAUCCGAAGGUGAUCAUCUUCCAUUCAGGUGCACCAUAAUUAGCAUAAUCUUCUUAUUAUAAUAGUAUGGAAUAUAAAUUUAAAAGGUACCAAUCAAAUCGUUAUGAGAUUAAUGUAUGCAAAUCAUGAUUUCAUGAGGCUCAAUAUAUAUCAUUUUCAUAAUCUCCAAAGGAUCUGCAUCUGUAUUCUCUGCAGCACUAGCACUGCCCAAAUUAAUGUGAUUAAGACCAACUUUUUCUCUUUUUUUUUUCUUUUUUUUUUUUAAAUUUUCAAACAAAGAACGAUUUGGGUUCCGAUCGACUAAACAGAAACAUAACGUUUGGAAGUUCGGCCAAGUACUUCCUGAUGGGUUUUAAUUAUUUUUUUUCGUCGCUGGUGAUCGUUGGUUAAUUAUGUAGGAAAUUAUAUGAUAAAGACUCAAAGUUUUGUUAUCAAAUUUUCAAGGAGCACUUUCCACGAGUUUCUUUCUACUUUUGGUUUACCCUCGCUCUAAAGAAGUUUAUAUUGACUGGGGAGGAAUAUUGUUGUAAGCAAUUUCAUAUUUAUCAGAUAAAUGUAAGCAAUUUCAGAUACAUGUAAGAAAAAGAUCCAGAUCACUUUAUUACAAGCAUAAAUAUUACAUAACAAGCAUAAAUAUCACACAAAGAAUUAGGUCAAGGGCAUUAUCCCAAUAACCAGAAGCAUUGAACCCCAGUAGCGGCAAAUGCCAUGAUUUUAGCUUAAGAAACCAUUUUGUACUGUUCCCUUUGCAAAACCCUAGCACUGAAAGGGACACACACAACCAUUUGGACCAAAAGAUAUAUGUUCUGUGGAAUCUUAACGGCUCACACAAAUAUAUGCAUAUCGGAAGUGAAAUAUACCAAAUAAUAUGUAUAUGCAUGAACCAAAUAUUGCUAGCUAGCUUUCAUGCACAAAUAAUUGUUGGAGAUCGAGUGUCCCCCUUUUUAACUUUAGCUUUAUACAUUAUUUAUAAUAUAUCUUAUAGAAUCAUUUUUUUAUUAAGUGGUGUUGCUUUAUAAUGUAAAUAACUUUGUUUAUGUGCUGUAAUCUAUGAAAGAAAAAAACUUAUCUCAAAUUGAAACUUUUCAUGAACUCUCGAUCAUUUUAUAAUUUGACGUUAAUUCUUAUAUUAACAUUAUAAAAUAUUAUAUUAAAAACAUGAAGUGACAAAGAAUACAUAAAAAAUCUUACUUUUAACAUAAUUUCUUUAAAAUUUCUCUCUUUAAUAUUAAGGAGGGGCCACCUCACAAAAGUUCUUUAUGGCCUUUGCUUUUUUAUUUUCCUUCAAUGUAUGAGUUGAAUUGGCAUUAGAAAGAGCCUGCCGAUUACUUAACCACUUCAAUCACAUCAUACGAUUAAGAGACCCAGACAGAGAAAACAAAAAUGUUUAAACUGUGUAAAAAAUAAAUAUUAAAGAUUUAAAUAUGUAUACAUACAGAUAUGCUAUUGCCUCUCAUUCUGCAGCUUAAUAUUAAAAAACUCACAACUGUAUAAAUGGCUUGAAAAGUCGUGCACUUCAUGAUGUAGCUAGCUAACAAACUAGGGCAGAACAAACACAUUUGUGAACUAUAAUGCUAGGGCAUGCAAGUCCAACUUCAUAGAUGUUUUUCCCGCGUUAAUCAUCUUACAUCAAUGUCACAAUAUGCAUCUGCAAUUUAUGCUUAGGGUUUUUGGAGUAGUUUUUCCUUUCUUUUUUUCUUUCAACUGUGCAUAAGAGCAUGAUAUGCUUCAGAACUUUAUCGUUAAUUUGUUUCUUUGGACUCUUCGACCAACUAGAUGAAGAAAAGAUAUUGGCAUGCACCUAAGCAUUGUAGAAUUUUUAGAUUGGUUAUAGAGAUGGACCAGAUCAAUUUUACAAACUAAGACAUCAGUUGCAGUAGGCCAGUAACCAAGGGCGGAGCCAAUUAAGGCUUAGAAGGGUCAUCUUGACAUGCCUGACCCUGCUAUUCCCAAAUACCAGGGUAGGCACAUGUUGGCCGGCACCCAAAGGUGACGAAGCCAUACUAUAAUGCAUGUGAACCAAUGAAUAUAAAUAAGACAUAUAAAUUUAAAUGUAAUUAAUAUGCAAAUUAGGAACGUGUUCAGAGCAUACAACUAACCCUAGACACUAAAAAGGAAUAACACAAAAUUGAAUGAACAAAGAGAUGGGUUCUACACCGACAGGACUUGAAGAUGCCGAUGUGGGAGUGCCUUGACACUAGGGUUGUACGCCUUGAAUCUAAGUCCUAAGGGGGCACAAAACAAACAUAAGUGGACUAAGUUUAUAUAUAUAUAUAUAUAUAUAUAUAUAUAUAUAUAUAUAUAUAAAAUACUGAAACAAUUAUUCAAUAACGUACUAACCCCCAAAGUUUUAUGAAAACUAAUAGCAUAAUAUGUGAUAGGUUUUCCGAAACCCUAGCAUGCCAUAAAAACUUUCAUAAAACAUAUAUUGUAUAUAGUGUGCUAACAAGUGGUAUCAGUAUCGCCUGAAGACAUACAAAACUCUUCCUUUAUAACAUUUCCUUCACAAGUAUCAAUCACCCGUAGGCUCCUACAGCACCCCACCCGUAGGUCAAUAUAAGUAUCAUCGCCCGUAGGCUCCUACAACACCCAACCCAUAGGUCAAUAUAAGUAUCAUUGCCCGUAGACAGAAUAGUGACCACUAAAUACACACAAAACCUUGAAUAUACUCAUUCCAAACAUUAGUACAUAUAUCUCAAAAUCAUCUUCAUAGCAUAUAGUUAUCUAUCAUACAUACUAUAAAGAAGUGUAAAGAAAACAUGUUCAUAAAUAGUAUAUAGUCAUCCAUCAUAUAUACUACAAAGAACAUAAGUUCGAUAAAAUAUGGUAUUCCAAAAUAUUCGCAGUAAAGCAUGAUAUAUCAUAAGUGUAAAUCUAAUUUACUCAUAAAACAUUUCAAAACGUAACCAUUAAAUCAUGUUUUUCAUGUAAGCAUUUCUACUAUUAAAACAAGCAUUUUAGAAGGGGUCCACUCAUAGAUACUCUGUCGUCGAAAAGCCAUGCAAACUAGCGAAGACGGAAAUGCCACAAUAAAUGCACCUUGCAAGAUGGCUAACUAGCCGUGGUUUGGCCGAAAAUUGCCUUGAAAGUGGCGGAGGUCGCCGGAAACUUUGGUUUCCCAAAUAGUGGGCGGAGUUGGUUGCAAAAUCGGAUCAAAAGUCGUCGGACUCGCCGGAAUAACUGGGUUCCUCUAGUCCCGAGUUACGUUGUCACUAAAAAAUGGUGGUUCCAUCGAUGCCAAGUGUUUUGAUGAGGGUGUGGUCACCCGUUGUAGGUGUGUAAUGGGUGUGUACUGGUCCUUGGGGAAGAGAGAGGGCUAAGGGAUCCGAGAGAGAGAGAGAGAGCACGGGAAAGUUGAGAGAGAGAGAGAGAGAAGAGUAGGCCGAGGGGACAAAAUCCAAAGGUGGGACCCUUGGGCAGACCUAUUAAGGCCCUAAAAACAAUAUUUUAAACCAAAUAUCCCACAACCCAAAAGAAUUUACCAAAAAUACCCUUCUGUUCUGUAAAAUUCGGGACGGAUUGUCACACAUCUUUUGCAUCAUUGUGGCAUUGUAGUGUUUCUCCUCAUAUUUUGCUAUGUUUGUUUUGCUUUGACCCUUCUCGCCCUGGUAAUUAUUGAAUUCCUUACUAAUGUUGUUUGGCUUUUAGUUAAAGUAGGUCAUAUACAUAUAAUAAUUUUGGGAAUGAUAAUUAUCCGUCUACUACAUAGAAAUUUAUUAUAAACAGCUAAUGAGAAAUAGUGAAACACUAAAAAGACAAACAAUAGAGAUACUUCAUAAUUAGAAUGAAUUAGAGAUUAUGUAUUAGUAUUUACGAUAAAUACUGAUUAUGGAUAUGUACUUUCUUUCUAUUUUGAUGAACAAUUAAUGAGUUCAAUUUGUUUAGACUGAUUAUUUUCAACUGAAAAUGAGAGGUUUUAUAUUCGACUCUCAUUAUGUGACUCAAUCAAAUCCCUCCCCUCAUUGUGUAAAUAAAAUAUCAUUGUAUAAAAAAUAGAUCUUAUACUCAUAUAAAAUUUGACCCUCGUAACAAAAUCUCUGACUCCGCCACUAGUAACCAUUGCAUUAUUAAAGUAGGAGCAAUACUAUAGUUUUUCUCUAUUUAAAGGUGGUGGUGUGUUGUUGGCCUAGGAACUCUAGGUGAUAGGUUAAUUUAUCAUUUGCGUGACAAGGACAAAGAAAUCGAAUGAGUUCCAAAACAACUUUUAUUAAAAGAAUCAUAUUCCAAUCGAGGCGUUUUUCAUAAAUUAUGUUAUCUCACAUUGUUAGGCGGCCAGUUCCAAAUUCCAAUCCACUUUAAAUGGUGAAGACAUUUCUCCUUAGGAAUCUCAUCGAUGGGGAUCCUCCCAACAACUAAAAAAAAUAUGGUUAAUGGAGAAAAUGGCAAGCUAGUUAACUUUUGAGUUUUGAACUUUAGUUGAAAAUAGUAAGCUAAUUAUUAACUCGGGCAAAUUAAACCAAUUUAUUGGUAAAAGAGUUCCUUUAGAAAGGUAAUUUUAAAGGUGCAUGGGAAAGAGAGGGAAUACCUUUUAAAUUAAGUUGAAGGAGGAGGACCCUAAACUAGGAUUCGGAAUAUUGUGCUUUGAGUUGGAUUCAAAAGUGAUUGCCUUCCUCAAAAAUGGCACUUGAUAGGGCCAUUAUUCUUUUUUAAAGGAGCUAGGGUUAAGAGGAACAUUAUCUUCACAAUGAGAGAGAGCUACCUCACUAUAUAUAUAUAUAUAUAUAAGCGUUAACCAAUUAAUAUAUUAAUGUGACGCUAAUUGCUGAUCUGAAUUUGCUCCACAACCUAGCUAUAUAAAGCUUAGCUAUUUACUUUUCAAUCUACUGUAAAACAACAGGUUCAAUCUUCCAUAUGUCCCUCGCGUAUUCAUGAAUUGUACGGUCACUGCUGAACUUGUACGAACCAGCUGUGUUCAAAAUCGACUUCCUCGUCCAUCUCUGCACCAUGUUCGUGUACAUUUACAAGGAAGUUAAUGUUCAACGAGAAAAGAAGCAAUAUGAAUUAAUUGUUCAAAUAAUAUAUACAAUCACCUUUUGGUCUCGAUAUGCUUCAUCAACCUUGUCUUGGCACUCAAGGUAACUAGGGAAGUCCUUGCCAACGAGAAAGUAAUCAGCACGACCAUAACCUUCAUUUCCUUCCAAUGAUCCCAUGAGUUCAUCAUAGUUGUAAGGACCAAACACGCCGGUUCUCACAUAUGCCUUCACUUCUUCGAACCGCGGGUCCGGAACGAACUGCAUUACAUGUUAAUUAGGUCUAAUAGUUUGUUAACUGAGUGAUUAGUAAAAAACUAAUCAUAUAUUCUACCUUUCCUUCAGAUCUUUCUUUCCUUAGCCCGGCAAUUUCAUGAGCAUGUGCACCAAAGAGGAAAAAAUUGUCCUCUCCAACCUCUUCUCUUAUUUCGACAUUUGCCCCAUCUAGGGUUCCAAUUUGUACGCAACCAUUCAUUGCAAAUUUCAUGUUGCUAGUUCCACUCGCCUCCAUUCCAGCAGUGCUGAGAGAGCCACAGAAUUAGUACCAUAUUACCAUUAUUUAUGAUUAUGCGAAGUUUAGAAACGUUUUCAGACAACCAGAAGCACUUUCAUGAACGUUUGACAGAAAAAAGUUUAAAGUACUUGGGUUAUGGUGCUUUCUAUGAGAAGCACCUAUCAAGCGCUUCCUUGAAAAGUGCUUCCAAAUGCACUUGAAUUUUUCUUAAGAACUUUGUUAUGCUUCUAGUAAAAGCGCUUAUGAGCAUAAGUGCUUUCUGUAACAGCAUUCCCAAACAGGCCAGAAGUUUAUGAGACCAAAUGAUAACUUGUAAUUGAAGCAAUUGUGCAGAAAUGAAUCUAGAAACCUGAUAUGCUGGGAGAGCUCACUACCGGGAAUAAGCACUUCAGCAACACUGACAUUGUAGUCAGGAACAAACACAACCUGUGGUUAAAACAUCGAAGACAUAUACACUUCACUCAAAAUUAUUGACAAGAAUGGACAUGGUGAAGCAGCUGAUAAUUUCUAUGAGCCAAAAACAUACCUUCAAAAGGUCACCUAUGUCUCGAUCGUUAUUCACAGUGGCUCCAACAUCUGUGAUAAAUUUCACAAUCCUUUUCGCUUGGAUAUAGGUUGCGAAUGCCUUUCCUCCAAAUAUACACACCCUUGGAACAAACUUUGCUUUUCUUUCCUCAGGACUCAUUUCCUUCAUUUUCUUGUAGCGAUAAAUGAUACCCAGGAUGUUCAAUAGCUGCCGUUUGUAUUCAUGAAUGCGCUUCACCUGAUAUUAUAUAUAAGUUUAGUUGAAAAACAGGACCAGAGGAAACAGGGGAAAUAUUUGUAGGAUCAGAAAUUUACUUGCACAUCAAACAUUGCGUCAGGGUUGACUAGAAAACCAGUUUUUUCCUUGAGGAAGGAUGCAACCUUAAUCUUGUUUCUCCUUUUCGCUUCCCUCCAUUCGGAUUGGAGAUCUUCAUUAUCAGCAAACUGUUAAGAAGUUACACAAUGUGUAAAAGGAGACCAUAUAGAACAAGCAAAAAAUUUCGGUACAUUUGGGUGAUGCAGGUAGUUUGCACAAUGCCGAUACAACUUGCUAUCAUCUUACACAAAAGUGAGAUUUAUAAAUAUCGAAAUUCAUAUAUUGAAGCGAAGAAAAAGACCAGCAGAUAUGUAUUCAAUGACUUGCAGGUUAGCUAGGUAUGACAUCUUACCUUCCGAAGGGUGACCAACAUGUUAGUAUUUCUCACCCAAUCGUCUGUUCCAAUCCAUUUGGUUAUAAUUUUACUCAGACCUGGAUUGCAGAAACGAAUCCAUCUUCUCGGUGUCACCCCAUUUGUCUUGUUUUGAAAUUUCUCAGGCCACAACUGCCAGAGGUAUUAAUAUUAUGUGAAAAACAGUGGACAAAAAAUAUGCACAUACUAAAUGGACGUCAGUAACACUUCCAAGUUUUGUUAUAGGGUUUAUACCUUAUAGAAAUCGUUAAAUACUUCGUUCUUCACUAUUUCGCUGUGAAUCUCAGCAACGCCGUUUACUGCAUGUCCACCAGCAAUGCAUAGAUUAGCCAUUCUCACCGUCUUUGGAAGUUUAGGAUCCGGUUCAAAUGUAACCUCAUUUUUUGUAUUAGUGUCUAGUCCUUUAGAUUGACCUACUUCAUCAGUGGUUUUAGCUUCUUCAUCAGAAAAAUCAACUUCCUCAACGUGAUCAACUGCAGAACUUUCUUCUGAUUUACAGAGAAUUCCAAUGACUGAAUCAGGCAAAUCGAUAUUAUCAAGAAUUCUCAUUUCUCUCAGUUUUUGUUCCAACAAGUUAAGAUCUUCUGUGCCGUACUCAGCAAUAAUGGUAUGAAUUAGCUGGUCAAGAAAUCGAAUAUGUUACAUACUACAGUAGAAAGUAAAGAAUGAAUCUUUUGCUCAUUAAAAGAAUUUUUAUCGCACAACGCUGAAUAUUACCUCCUCAUCAAUCGUUUUUAUGAUCUCAACGUGUCGAGGAAGUAAUUCCUGUAUGAGCUGCAAACUCCAUUUCUCCAAUGCCUCAGGUAACACUGUAUGAUUAGUGUAUGCAACAGUUCUGGCAAGAUAAUCGACGAAUGAAAAAACAUUCGCUUAUAUAUAAUUAUACAUGUAAGGAAAACACUCCAAGUCACACGGAAUGCGCCAACUUGAAGCUAAAUAACUAAUCAAAAUAUCGAGAAGGGAAGUACCUUCGAGUAAUGUCCCAGGCUUCCGUCCAGCUCAAGCCCUUAACGUCCAUCAAUAUCCUUAUCAACUCUGGGAUGCAGAGAGUUGGAUGAGUAUCAUUCAUCUGCACUGCAACCUUCUCAGGAAACUCCUCCCAUUUCACAGACUCCCCCGAUCUUCUCUCAAACCGCGCAACUAUAUCUUGGAGAGAAGCAGAACACAAUGUGUACUGUUGCUUUAACCGAAGUGAUUUUCCCUCCAUGGAUUCAUCCCCAGGGUACAAUAUAUAACAGAUCUAAUGAAGAUGAAAAGAUUAAAGUAACACAACAAUGCAGAUUUGGAAGAAUAAGUGUAACAACUAUGAUGAAAUCAUACAAACCUUUUCGGCAUUCUUUAAAGCUGCAUACGCCUUGGCAUGAUCUCCAGUGUUGAAAGCAUGUAAAUCAAACUCUUCCGGUGCUACUUUUGUGGACCAAAGUCGAAGGUUUAUGGUGGUUUUAGUUUUAUAUCCCGGUAUGGGGACAUCGUAGGCAACCGCCAUGACAUUUUCGCCUCCAAUCCAUGUUUUUUUUCCAUCUAGCCCUGAAACAACUUCGCCGUAGAAUUUCACAGGAUAGCUCACAUCAUUUCUUGGAAUUUCCCACGGAUUUCCCAUCUGAUAAGGGAAAGUGUUCUUAAUGAACAAAAUUCAGUGAAUGACUUUUAACAGAACAGGAAAAAGUAAGUCUCAAUGAUCAAACCUCCAGCCAAUUUUCAGCAACUUCCUCCUGCCCAUCUUUUGUAAUGUGCUGUUUAAAUAAGCCAUACUUGUAUCUGAGUCCGUAUCCCCAUGCCGGGUAAUUUUGAGUGGCCAGGGAGUCCAAAAAGCAGGAAGCAAGCCUCCCCAACCCGCCAUUUCCAAGCGCAGCAUCCGGUUCCUGUCAAUUAACAACACAAAUUUUAGAGACUGCCAAAGUAACCAGACAAUAUUAAGUAAGUCCAUUCGAAGGAAUGCUCAACGGAAAUCGCAGUAAAGUUAAUCUAAUGGUCAGGGCAUCUGACCUGCCUAGCUACAUCCUCUAGAUUGUGCCCUAGCGUUUUCAAGGCAUGUGCAUAAGCCCCCGAAAGCUCCAAGUUACCAAUGGCAUUCAGCAAUGCUCUUCCCUGCAACAAUUUUAAAACAUAACAGAUGAGACCUCCUUAUGCUCAACAAGCAAUGUAUACAAAAUAGAGGUUAUUUUCGGCAUCAGGACAAAAAGAGAAGCUCAUGGCAAACCUGUAGAAACUCCAUUGAGAGAUAAUAUGCCUGCUUUACAUUCAGCCUGUCAUGGUACUCAUAUGUAGCGUUCCAAUUAACAAUGAGCAUGUCACGAACACUUUCAGCGGUACCGUAGAAUGCCUUGGGAAGCGCGAAAGAUUCGAUAGAGAAAGAGGGUGUGAAUUCGGCAUGGUAUUUGAUAUUCGAUGCAAUGAAUGAAGAAUCAGGAGGAAUUGUAGCCAAACUGCCUGAACCAUUUGAUCAAAUCAAAUAACAACUUAAUCAAGUCGAUAUAAAUGAGUGAAUAUAAAGAUUUUUGGACGUGGUAAAUGCCCAAAUUAUUGAAAGUGCUUUAGACAGCAUAGAAAAAGUUGAAUGUGCUUCUGGGUUAGCAAAAUACAUGGAAGAGAGAAUUUCAACUUGCUUUUAAGAAAACGCUUUUGAGCUGAAGUGCUUUCUAGAGAAGCAUUUUUAUACACACAACGAUUGGCCUCCUAGAAAAAAUUCAGUGACAGGACAAUGAAAUCUUCAAAGUGAGAUUGUGAUAAACCACCUUGACUUAAAAUUGAUAUAGCAAAGUAAAUUCCCACCUCAGCUGAGAUGGGUAGAAAGUGCUUAUGCAUUUGACUAUGAAAGCAUCAAAUCUUUUCACUUUUAUGAAAAAAGCACGUUGCAACCAAAACUCUAAAUCAAAAGGAAACAAAUUUAACCAAACCUUGUUGGGUUUGACUGGCGACAUCUUUCUCAUCAGUCUCCACGUUCUUCACACGAAGCUGCCUCCUUGCUCGGCUGCGGGAACAAGUGGUUGUUGUGAUAAAAAACGGUCUCGAGUUUCUUCUUAUGCGGUUGGAGUGUAUGAAGCUUGAGACGAACUUUGACGGUGUUGAUUUCGCGGAGAAUGGUAAUGCCGCCAUUGCUUUCUCAGUAUCCCUCUGAGAAAGUUAGUAGCAGAGCAAGGAGAAAAUGAGUGAAAGAAAACGUGUUGCCUUUUGUCUGCUUAUCUUCCUCAUGUUUGAGACGAGGGAAAUGCUUUGAUUCGUCGUUUUCCAACGUCUCCACUAUUACUUAGUUUACCACAUUAUUCUUUUUUCAAUUAAUUGGCUUUAAUUCAAUUAAUGAAUUUUUUUUGGUCUUGCUCCAUGUGCUUUUCAUCCUAAAAAAGUUUACGAGGAGGGGAGCUAUCCCAUUUUAGAAUCAGAGUAAAUCACAAACUUCUUCGAGAAUUUAUAAGGAGUUUUAGUUCAUUUUUUUAGUUUUUAUAGAUUGCCAGUGAAAGAGAUUGCUGGUAGUAGGACUCGAACUUAAGCUUUGAUUUAACGAAAAGAACGAUUCUUACUAACUCAACUAACUCUCGUUGGCAUUAUUCACUUAAUUGAAAAUUUGGCACACUUAUUUGCAUGAUAUUGUUCCUGCAUUUCCUUGAAAUUUCUUGAAAAGUAUGUGAAGGUUUUGGUCUCACUAUUAGCCAAGACAAGUGGGCCGUUCCGUUAUCCUAACAACUUACCCUACCAUGCAAGCAACUAUCACCUUCUUUUGGUGACUCUUUGCCCUCCAAAUUGCAACUAGCCACUUUGAUUUUGUUAAUUUGUUGUUUUUUAUUUGGCUGAGAAUUUGAUCUUUGUUUGUUGCUAAUUCAUUUUCCAAAUCAUCAUUUUCUAUAAAUUUUGUUGUUCAUCCAUUCCUCGCAAGUUUUUUAGUGUGAUGUCUCAUGUCACGUUGUAUUACUAAUCCAAUUGUUAUAUAUGAGUCAACAACUUGAAUGAUAUUUCAUAGGAUUAAGUUAUAUAAUGAUAAACAUAUACACAUAUUAUAACAUGAGAGCUGUAAAAACAUCAUAUCACAGUUUGAUGAUCACACUGAAAAAGUAAUCAUAGGACAAAAGAUUGGUCUCUAACAAAUUUAGAAUGAACCAACUACCAACCAAUUUAUUGGUAUUCUCGUCUACAAUGUUCAAGUCUCAAUCUCAAACCCACUCUCAUAAUGAGGAGAAAAUUUUCAGUCUAUUCGGAACACUGAACAGUAAAUCACAUCUUAUUAUACAAUUGAAAAAAAUUUCUUUCGAAUGUUUCUUAAAUUGUAUAAUAACAUAUAGCAUUCUGCUUUAUAUUGUCAGCAUACUGUAAAAAGGUUGCACUGUUAGAAAUUCUAGAAUGGAAUAAAGGUUUGGGCCACCAAUGACCCUCUCUAACCCAAAAUCAGACCCAAUGGAAAAGGACCAUUUUGGGAUUUUAUUAACCCAACAAGAAGCCUGCAAAUUGCCAAUGGACCACAGUGACAGGUGGCCAUCUGCUUCACCCACGUGGCACCACGUGGCAUGCAUACACGUCUUGACAAUAAUCCUUUAUUUAUCCACAAAAAUAAUACAAAACUGAGGAAAUUUGAGGAGGGAAGAAGGUAAAUCCCUCCCAACGGUCUCUCAAAGUUGGACCUUGGAUUCGGAGGAGGUUAGAGCCGUCCAGUUCUUCUGCUUUUGCGCGGCGUUUUUUUCUCUGAUUUUUUUUCUCACAGCCACAGACACAGAAAAUAAAUACUUCUCCACAGAAAACUCUUUGUUUCUCUCCAAUUUCUUCUCAAAUUCCUCUUUUCGUUUCAAGCACAAGCUAAAUCGUAAUCCAAAAACCGUAGUGGUUUGUUUACGAAACACUGCCAAGUUUCGGAUUUUAUCGAAAUUUCUAGGUACAUUUUUUGGUCUUGAUCACAUCGCAUGUGGUAAUUUUUGGUGAUCAACUAUUGAGCUUUUCGUUUUUGUUAUUGAAUUUAGUGGAAUGUUGCAAUGUGGUAUGAAAAUGUAGGCCAAGUGAAGAAUGUGGUAUUAGAAAGAAAUUGGGAAACCCUAGUUUUGAUCUUUUGUUUCUAAAUUUGUGGUCUUUUACAGACGUGAGUUAGGUUAGUUAGACAAUACAACAUGCUCACACGCUUGUAGUCGAGUUUGAUCCCCGUCUCAUAUAUUAAAAUGAUUUCUAGUAGUUUAGAACAUCGCUUAAAUACUUAAUUGCUAUUAGUUUAUGAAUUUUUUCUCAUCGUUUAACUUUUUUUCUGAGAUUGUAGGUACCGUAUUAGAAUCUUCACAAGGAUUCAAUCAAUUUCCUUUUGAUUUAGUGACUUUUGGUUAAAAUAAUUAAAAAAACCUUACCACUUAGACAACCAUUGGUUUCUUGCCAAAAUGUUUGGGUCAAAAAAAUCACCUGCAAAGAUUGCUCAAGCUGAUUCAGAUGCCGGGAAGAACGUGCUUAACCCCGCGAGAAGAACUUCUUCGGAGCCUAUGCUUGUCACCCCGGAUUUCAGCAACGAAAAAAAACCAUUAGAGCAGCAGAGUAUGCAAGAGUUAGAGAAAUAUGCCGUUAACAAGGCCGAGGAGACAACAAAGAGUGUCAACAACUGCCUCAGGAUUGCUGAGGACAUCAGAGGGGAUGCUACAAGGACACUUGACAUGUUGCACCAGCAGGGUGAGCAAAUUACAAGGACUCACAUGGCGGCUGUUGAUAUCGAUAAGGAUUUGAGUCGGGUAACGUCUCCUUGUUGUCAUGCUUGUAGUUAUUCCCAGACGAUUUAUAUUUUCUUGUGACACAAGAAACUAUAAAUCUUGAAGAGCAGCAUUUAGAUCUUAAUACCUAUUGAUGCAUUCUGAAAACAGGGUGAGAAGAUUUUAAACAAUCUUGGAGGCAUGUUCUCAAUGCCUUGGAAGCCGAAGAAGACCAAGGAUAUUUCGGGGCCUGAUUUUUCAUUAGGUUUGCUUCUGUUAUAAUCUGCUUGCUUCAUAUCCUAAUUCUUCAAAACCUCAUAAAGCUUAUUGCAUCUGUUGAUCAUGUUCAGCUGCACCCAAAAAAGCUGACCCACAGCAGAAGGAAAAGUUGGGUAUAGCUCCGAAAGGGCGGUCAGCUCCUGCAACGCCUCCUCCCGAAGGAUCAGGUGCCUUGCAAAAAGUCGAGGUAAGUGUUUGCGAUUACGAUUGUCAAGAAUAUGGCUACGUGCUCUCCAUAUUUACUUAUAUGGGACCGGUUUGUCAAUAUCAGCAUGAGAAGGCAAAGCAAGAAGAUGCUCUUUCAGACCUAAGCAAUAUAUUGGGGGAUCUGAAGGGUAUGGCUAUGGAUAUGGGAAGUGAAAUUGACAGGUUAAUAUCUUUGUUCUUCUCUGUAAACUUUCUUCACGAUUUCGUAUACAUGUUUGCAUUAUUGUUAAUAAUAUGGUAAAUGCAGGCAAAACAAAGCUAUUGAUAAUCUCUCUGACGAUGUUGAUGAGCUUAACUCUCGAGUGAAAGGUGCUAAUCAACGUACACGACGAUUGCUUGGGUGAAGACCAACAGCCUUACAAAUACCAGCAGCCUAACAUUAGUUACUGUAACUACAGAAAUCUUUUCCACUUUCGAUUGUAUAUAACUGGUCUCCCCCUAUUUGGGAUAUGCAUGCAAUAAAAGGAGCCUUUUUGUUCAGAUUUCACCAUACAGCUCUAAAUCACAAUAUAUAGUUCUGCAUUCCAAUUUUCUUCUCCUCCACUCCUCUUUUCUUCCUAACUUUUGGAUCGAAUAAAUCAAAUAAGAUCCCGGGACGGGACAGAAAUAAGGGGAUGAUGGCGGGAAGAGAAAACGGGAGUGAAAAUCACUACCGAUACCAACUGUGUGAAGAAAGUUUGAAUAUUUACAAACACUGCCAUCUGCAGUUGUACAACAGGCAAUCAGGAUGCCUUCCCGCUCACGUUUCCUCACUCGUCACAGGAGUCCAGUUAUUUCCUGGGACGGCCUUUUUCCUGGAAUAUGAAAUGUAACCCCCCAACAUAUCCUAUAAAAACCCCAAGCACCAACACGCUUGUUCCCUUCACAAACCAUGAGAAUGUACACUCCCCACUGCUCCUAAUAACUCCAGCACCACCACCGCUACCGAUAUCAACAGACUUGAUACCGCCUACACCAGCUCCACUACAGCCGAGAACUUGCCCCGACGCUAGAAUCUCAACCGUGUCGUGCACCUCCCCAUCAUGGUUUCCAACAUAAGUAAGUUUCUUCCUUGUGGCAACCAACCUAGUGUACCUAAAUUCACCCCUAAUGAUGCAAAAAUUGAAGAAAAUGGCGUAAAUCCUUAAGUCUCUGAACAAAUAAUGAGCAAAAAAAAAAAAAAGGAAAAGGAGUGGCUAUUUGAAAAUUUUCCGUCUUAUUUUGAACGAACAAGGAUUGUCUGCCCUCCACUUUCGGUGCCCUUUCCGUGCCCUUUUGUUUGUGUGGAUACAGUUAAGCCACGUCAACAUUUUAUAUUACUAUUCAUUUUUGUCUUAUUAUAUCUAUAAAAAAACAAUAUAAAAGGUUAACGUGGCUUAACCGUAACCACACAAAACAGGAGAGUACGGGAAGGACACCAGAAGUGAAGGGCAGACAAUCCUUGUCCAUUUUGAACAUGUCAGUGUACAAGAAAGAUAUAGGAGUAAGAGUAGACCAAAACAUAUUUAUGUGAAUCAUGUGACGAAGAUAAUAACAACACAUAUUUACUGACACACUUUAAAAUACAUAUAUGUUGAAUUUUACGUAUGUAAAUAGAAUUACUGAGAACAGUAAUUACCGAUUAAAAAAUAAAGACACAGAAAUGAGUUAAGUAUCCAAUCUAUUGGUGACUGGAGAUAAUGGAACGGAUAAUGAGUUGUGAAUUUGUGUUUGUGAGUUUUAACCACCACUCCACUCCAAUAGACAAUGUAUCUCGGUACAGAAGAUUUUUCAUUGUGUUGGGAACAUUGUCCAGUACCUCAUGUGUAAUAUUACAAUUAGGUAGAAAUUUAUAAAAAAAUAUUUCUAACCAAUUAUAUUAUAACACUCGAAACACUAAUUUGUGUCCCUAUGACACCAAAAAUUUUCUCCUCACACGGCAAUUGUAAUUAUAAAUUGGGGUAUUUUGAUAUGGGUCCAAAAUAGUUAAAAAUUAAACCUAUUUCAAAAGUCAAAAUUCAUUAAAAAUUGGACCUAUUUCAAAAGUAGCCUAUAAAAUGGGAUCUAUUUCAAAUUUUCCCUUAUAAAUUUAAGUCCUUCAUGUGCCUCUUGCGCCUUUCCUUUGCAUUAAACUCCUUUUAGUUUUACUACUACAAUUCCAUCACCAUCACCAUCACCAUCACCAUCAUCCUAAACACCUAAAAAGUUUCUCCCCUUCUAAACCAACCCCCCCUUCCCAUCUCUCUCUCUCUCUCUCUCUCUCUCUCUCUUCCCAAGAAUGACGAAGAGCUCUCUCUCUUCUUUUUCGUUUCUCUCCUCCACUUUCGGCCUCCGGCGGCGUUUUCUCAUGGCCGCGGCGGCAGUCUUCAUUUCACUACUUUUUGUCACAUCUGCUGCCGCACCCAUCUCUAACCCAAUCAAUGUUACGCCAAGAAACCCCCACCACCACCGUAAUUGCGAUCAUCCGACUUCAGUUUCGGAAUGGUCGAGUGCUCAGUUACGUUCUUUGUGCCUUGAACUCACCCACCACAGAAUAUUCCACGGCUACCUUCCCCUCUCGCCGCCGCCACUAUCCUCGUCGAGCCCCUCACAGCCGGCUCACGACGACCAUCAAGAUCAAGAUGGUCACCAGAUUGAUCCAAGAUACGGUGUCGAGAAGAGACUCGUCCCCUCCGGUCCCAACCCUCUUCACAAUUGAAAGUGCAAGUCCUGCACCCCAAGUAACGUCCUCAUCAAACAAAUUUCUGAAUAUUUUACCACGAACAUAUAAAUACUUAUCGUUCUUGAUCGGUUCUUGAGCGUUUCUUGGCAUCUUUCAUCACCAAAGUCGUUCUUGAGCGUUCCAGCAGCCAUAUUCGAGUCCGUUUUCCGUCUUCAUAACGAAAUGAUGAACGACGAUCAUGCAUCGGGACCGGUAUAAUAUUGCUAUCAAGGAGUUUAGCUAGUUCUUUAGUUCCUUAAUCCUCUUGCUAUAUUUAGUGCAUUAGUUUUCUUAAUGAAUUAGUACUCAUCGACGCAUGUACACGUUAUUUUCAUAUUUGUUUAUGAAUUAAUUAUCGCUAUCCCGAUAAUUUAAUGGGAAAUUAAUUCUCGUGGAAGCGGGAAAAACAAGCAAGGAAAUGGUCCCAGAUUUUCUUGAAUUGAUGUUCUUCAUGGGAUCGGAGGCGCCAGUUCAAAUUUGGGUGGGUGGGGGAGGAGAUAUCGUCAUCAUGUAAUUCAAAAGAUGCCUAUGAAUAUCAUAAAUAUACUUGAAGCUAUCGCUUUCUUUUUCGAGGUCAAAGUGGACAUUUUGCUUUCCAAAAUGUACCAUGUGGGUCCGAAUUUAAAAGUGAUCGUGUAUUUAUAUUAAGUUCAAGCUUUUUCUAUGAAUACGUGAAUUUAAUUUAGAGUUCUUGUUUGUGCUUUCAAUUUUUUGCGGUUUGCGAAUAACACUUCUCUAUCUCAAGUAUUUUUAUUUUUUUGUAUAAUAAGGUGAAAUAUGAAUCACAUAUCAUGAAAGUGAAAUAUGUUAAUGAAAUACGUUAUUGGGUGUAAACGGAAAUAUUUGCAUUCCUCAACACACUUACUUAUUUGAACAGUGGCGAUGAUUAAAUCUAGUUCUCAUUAGAGAAAUACAUAGCAAAAAAAUAUGCUCUACCCCCGAGUUUAAAAUGCUAUUACAAAAAUAAGUAAAAUGAAGUUCGAGUGUACAAAAAAAAAAAUCAAAAGAUGCACAGAACUUCUAACUCAGCUGACUAGAAUCAUUUAUCUUUUCUAGAAUUUGAAUUGAAAUUCUCUCUCGUUCAAUACUGCUCAAUUACUAUUUAGUACUACGAUCUGGUGGUAUUCUUCUUCGCUUAGAAGUGAGAGGUAUUAGGUUCGAAUCUCGUGAAUGACGAAUUUGAUACCAAAUUAGAGUGUUCAUUGUGUAGUUUAGUCGAACUCUUGCUCGCCUCUAGUGUAAAAUGUAAAUAUUGAUGUACUCAAAUACUGCUCAAUUAGUAGAGAAAAGAGAAAAACGAGAGGCCCAAAAAAGCCCAUAGUACACCCGUAGAUUACUAAACGAGACAAGGCCCAAAAGAAACACCAGCGAAGAGGCCCAAAGAAAAAACAGCCGGAAGGAGGCCAGACCAAUCAGAAUAAAGGGAAAAAAAUGAAAAAAUAAAUAAGAAAAAAGGGUCACCGACAGGACUCGGGAGGACGAAAGCAGAGUUCCAAUCUCUGGAGACUGGAGAGAUCGAAGAAGCUCAAGGGAAAUCACUAAUCUCUCAGGUAGUUACUUAACAAAUCAUAAUUAAGGACAGGGUUUUAGAUCUAAUUAGAUAAUUAAGUGCCACUUAAUUAUUCCGAGUGGAAAGUGUGUGUAAGUGAAGAAGUCCGAGAUCAGAGAUCUGCUGCGAGAUAUCUCCAAUAUCCCCUUUUGGAGACGACAAUGGCGCUUCGUCUUCCGUUUGCCGCGUUUUCUCUGGUCCUCCUCAUCGUCUUCCCUCCGCUGCUUCUCGACGCCAAAACCCUCAAACGCGACAGUAAGUCCUCGACUCCUCACACCUCUCUCUCUCUCUCUCUCUCUCUUUCUGCGAAUGUGAUUGGGGAAUUAUGGAAAUGGGUGGUUUUUUGUGACAGUGAAAGCACUGAACGAGAUCAAGGCUUCGCUGGGGUGGAGAGUGGUGUACGCCUGGGUAGGAGACGAUCCGUGCGGAGACGGCGACCUUCCGCCGUGGUCCGGUGUCACUUGCUCCACUCAAGGCGAUUACCGAGUCGUCACCGAGUUGUAAGAACACCACUUCUUCCACCUUCCCUUCGAUUUCGCUCCAAAGUUUUUAGCUUUAACUUAAAAUUACGUAUUUAUGUGUUGUUUAUUGUUUUGCAAAUUUGCAGGGAGGUUUAUGCAGUGUCAAUUGUUGGGCCUUUUCCUACGGCUGUCACCAAUCUCUUGGAUCUCACUAGGCUGUAAGAACACACACCUCUUCAAUCUACUGAUAUUUAAUUUAUCCAAAACUAUAACAAUUAAUACAAAUUGACGUUUCAAAAUCUAUAAAUUUAUCAGAUACAAAUGCAUAAAUCAAUAACCCUCUGGUUGUUUUUAAUUUUUUCAAAACUUAAAAGUUUGAUCUUUGUUUUGAAGAAUCUACUAUAUCUGUAUGUGACUCUGUCUGUGUCACAGGGAUCUCCAUAACAACAAGUUAACCGGCCCUAUUCCUCCGCAAAUCGGACGUUUGAAGCGUCUCAAAAUGCUGUACAGCCCUUUUCUAAUCCUUUUUAGUUCAAGAUAAUUUGUCUUCUGUUCAACUCAUGUGCAUAUUUUUCUAAUAGAAGUCUUCGUUUUUCUGUUUUUGAUCGUUUACUAAUUCUUGUUGCUUCUCAGUAACUUGAGAUGGAAUAAGCUACAAGAUGUCAUUCCUCCUGAAAUUGGUGAACUGAAGAGUUUAACCCAUUUGUGAGUGAAUUCUGUUUCUUUCUUUUACAAUGUAUAUGAAUUUUUCUUGUAAGGGCUAAUUCACCAUGAUUUACUUAAUAAUUCGGCAGGCAUCUUAGCUUUAAUAGUUUUAAAGGAGAAAUCCCGAAGGAGCUUGCUAAUCUUCCUGAGCUUCGCUAUCUGUAUCUGCAAGAAAAUCGCCUUGUUGGGCGGAUUCCUCCAGAACUAGGAACUCUGCAAAAUCUUCGGCACUUGUAUGUUUACAUAACUACUCCUCACACUUUGUCAAGAUAAUGCAUCUGUAUCUGGUUACUAAUGUGUGCCCUUGUGGUGCUGUUUGUUCAUAGGGACGUUGGUAACAAUCAUUUGGUGGGUACUAUUAGGGAACUCAUACGUAUUGAGGGCUGCUUUCCCGCUUUGCGUAACCUGUAAGUUAGUCCAAGUUGGCGAAUACAUAAUUAUCUCUACCUCAAUAGUAUAAAUGACAUGGUAACUGAAGUGAAUCUUUUUGCAACUGGGGUAUCUAGUUACCUAAACAACAACUAUCUUACCGGAGGAAUUCCAGCACAGCUUGCAAGCUUGUCCAAACUGGAAAUACUGUAUGUCUUACUCCCCUCUCUCCGUUCCUGUCCCGAUGGGCUGUUUCUAAUCUUGAGUUGAGCAUCAUCAAUUUGGAUUGGUUUCAUUACAUUUUGACCUGACACGAAGCUUGUUGGGUUGAUUAUUUUGUUGGUUACAGGUACCUAUCUUACAACAAGAUGUCUGGGAUAGUUCCAUUAGGACUUUCCCAUAUUCCGAGACUGACGUACUUGUGAGUUCCUUUUUACGACAUUUCUACUCUUUGCGUUUGUGCUCGACUAAUUGGUGUUUAGGGGGUAGUUUCAUCAAAGAUCAAGGGCUUGCCUCCUUUUUUAUACGGUCAACUUGUACUCUGGAAAGUAAACAGCCUUGAUGAAGGAUCUACCCAUUACUGCGUUAGAUUAAGGAAAAUUAAUGUGCAGUUUCAUUCAUUUCUUGUUCGGGUUUUUAUCAAAUUUAGGUACUUGGAUCACAACCAGUUUUCAGGAAGAAUUCCUGAUGCCUUCUACAAACACCCGUUCUUGAAAGACAUGUGAGUUUCUUUGUCUCCGGAACUUGGAAACUUCGAAUUACUAAAACUAUGCAGUAAUGUGUUUGAUACUUUGGUCAAUUGUUUUCUCACAGGUAUAUUGAAGGGAAUGCAUUCCGACCAGGUGUAAAACCGAUAGGCAUACAUAAAGUUCUCGAGCUCACAGACACAGAAUUCCUCGUCUAGUCAAGGCAUCAAGCUACUAUUUACUUGUUAACUGGUUGUGUUUUUUACUGCCCAAACAAGGGUUCUUAUAGUCUCGGAACGAAAUGGAAAUAUAUAUCGAUGAAGUUUUGCUGUCACUGAUGAGUUCAUAUGUUGCUCAACUCCGCAAGGAGUUUGCUUAUAUGGUAAAUGGUAGCAGGACUUCACAUUAGUUGCAGAACUAAUGCAUGUUUUAAAUCAUAGUAUAGAAAUCAACCGUUUAAUUUUUGGUAAGAAAAAUCUCGAUACUGCAAGUUUGGUUUAGUUCUUUUUUAUGUGUUGAAGGUUAGGAAUUCGGCAAUCGAACAUUAAAGCUUUGAUUCAAGUCUUGUCAACUUGAAACGAACAUCGAUCUCUGCCUGAAAAUUCUAACUGCAUUUUUAUGGUCUCCAAAACUAUUGACCUUGACCGAGCUGCAACCUGGAGCCUUGUGUACGCCUCCGUUUCUCAUCAAAUUCCUCAUUCAUCUGGCAUCACCAUGCUUCCCUGAAGCUGCAUGCAAAUUCGACAGCAAGACAUAGACGCCGAUGUGACAUUCGAGGUGAAAUGCUCUCCAAGCUACUGCUUAUUCAGAUGAUUUACUUGAACUGGCAACUGGGUAUACUUUGAAUUAUCUCCUUUGCUUCUUCGAAGAACCCGGCACGGCUUAGAAGGUCAACGAUACAUCCGUAGUGUUUGCUUUUUGGCUCAACGUGUAUAUCCUACGCAUUUUAUCAAACACCUUCAUUCCUUCGUCUGCCAUGCCGGAAUAACUGCAAGCAGUAAGCACAGCAAUGAAAGUAACAUCAUCUCCAUGCAUUGCAUUCCAGCAAACCGUGUCUCUUUGCAGCAUUUCAGCAAGCAAUCCUCUAGCUAACUCCAAUCUCCUACAUUUGGCAUACAUGUCAAUCAGACCAGUGGUCAAUCGAACACUCAACCGCAACCGAAGCCGAUUCAAAUACGAGUGAAUCCAAAUCCCAAUAUCCAGAGCUCCCAAAUGAGCACAAGCACAUAAAACACUAACAAAAAUCGCCUCAUCGGGUUCUGUAUCCUAAGCUGCAUCAACUGGAACAAAUAAAGACCUUCCCUGAAACAACCAUUCCGCACAUACCCAGAAAUCAUGGCACCUCAUAUCCCCCUGUCCCUCACCGGAGCUUCAUCAAAGAGCAAUCUCGCCAUGUCAAGAUUGCCCACCUUUGCAAACCCAGAAAUCAUGACCAUCCUUGAAACUGCACUUAGGCUAGGCAUUUCAUCGAACACGUACAGUGCUCUCUUCACGUCAUCAAACGCACAGUACAUAACAAUCAGAGAGUUACCCACAAAGAUAUCAGAAACAAAACCCAAUUUCAAACAGAACCCAUGAACCAAUUCCCCAAGACGACACCUUUGCAUCCUCGCACAAGCCUUUAGCAAAUAAGGGAGGGUAUAAUUACCUGGGCACAUCCCAUUCUGCAACAUCUCGGUAAAUACACCGACGGUCAGGAUGAGUUCGUUUCUGAGCAGUGAAGCUUUUAACAUUGUGUUGUAGAAGCAGAUUGUGGGCUCAUAUGGGCACUCACCUUCAUGCUCAAAUGAUCGAAAUGUUGGUUUACAAUCCUUUGUUCAAGCAAAAGGCCAUUCUAUUGGUUUCACCAGAUAAAAAGGAAUCUGAUGAAGGCAUCCCCAAGAAUGCUUUCAUAGCUCAGUUGGUUAGAGCACCCGUUUAGUAAGCGGGAGGUCUUGAGUUCAACUCUCAAUGAAAGCAUGUAAGUUGAUUUUUAAAUAAAACUAAUGAAAAAUGUUUUAAUUUUUUUUAAUGAUAAAUACAAAAUAAAGGGUAAAGUAAAUAGUACCAUAAUUAAAUUUUUAGUAUAAAAAUAUAAUUUUUCGUUAAAAUGAACAAUACCGAAAACUUUUCGUUAAAGUUUUUUUUUUCUUUUCCUUUUUGUGUUGGACCUUUGGAGCUCUGUUUUGUCUUGUUUCUGCAUUGGGCUCUCUUUGUUUUUUACCACAUUUGUGGUAGCAAAAAUUCGUUCAAUUUUCAGUGGGAAAUUUAGUUAAUGAAUCUUCAAUAUCUAAGUCAGUUUAUUUGAAAAUAAAAAGAGUUUAUGGCUUAACGGGAUAGCCCAAAACUUAAUAUUAAUUGAUGGAAAAUGAGGUAUUUGUAGAACUAGGGUUGGCCAUAUGUGUAGGGUGUGUCGAAAUUCAGUUGGCCAAGAUAUGUCAUCCAUUGGAUAAAGUAUGAAAGAACUGUCCCAGAGAUAUUAUUGAAUUAUAUUGUGAUUCCUUAUUUGAUUGGGUUGGUCUUCAAUUAGGAAAGCAUAAAGAUAAGAUUUGGUUAUUAAUGAUAUCUUUAAUACAUUGGGUAAUGCUAUUCUUACCACAUUAAUAUACCACAUUAGUGUACCACAUUAUGUGGCAUCUGAUGUGGCUGUCCACAUCAUCUAAAUUAAUUAUAAUUUAAAUUAAAUUAAAAACCAUUUAAUAAACCAAUAAUAAAUAAAUAAAUCUAGAAUUAAAUGGUGUUUGUGGCAUACGAGGAGUCUUCUCCUUCCUUCCUUCCUUCCUUCAUUCCCCAUUGCUUCUUCUCCCGUUUCUUCUUCCACGCCAUUUUUUUGUUUCAGCCCAGAUUUUUUCACAUUUGCAGGCAAGCAUUUGAGCAAAGUAGCAUAGUGUUGCUGGUGAAGAUAUCAAUUAAUAUAUAAGAAGUUGACAACAGCAGCAAACAGGUCAUCUGGGCACACUGUAUAAUCUCCUACGAAGAUUCGGUAGGUUCGGUUUUUGGUGCAGUGAUGAUAAUCUUCUAAAUCAAACCAUAAAUUGUGGAAAUUUAAGACUAACUAAUUCUUAAUCAUGCAAUAGGACCCUCUAGAACCCACUGCAUAAUGAUCAGUUAAGUGAAACGUAUGAUGAAGACAUGUCUGCCUAUAAAAUGUUUCAUGCAACUCAUUGAAAAAUAAUGGUAAAUGCUUACCAAUAAUCCAAAUAGGGGAGCGUCGAUGAAUCUUUAUCGUAUGAGAUUUAGUUGAAACAAAAAAAUGGCGUGGAAGAAGAAAUGGGAGAAGAAGCAACGGGGAAGGAAGGAAGGAGAAGACUCCUCGUAUGACACAAACACCAUUUAAUUCCAGAUUUAUUUAUUUAUUAUUGGUUUAUUAAAUGGUUUUUAAUUUAAAUUAAAUUAUGAUUCAUUUAGAUGAUGUGGACAGCCACAUCAGAUGCCACAUAAUGUGGUACACUAAUGUGGUAUAUUAAUGUGGUAAGAAUAGCAUUACCCUUCAUUUAGAUGAUGUGGACAGCCACAUCAAAUGCCACAUAAUGUGGUACACUAAUGUGGUAUAUUAAUGUGGUAAGAAUAGCAUUACCCCUAAUACAUUUGACCUUUCCCCUUGUUAAGCUUGGUGGGAUUGUAGUCACAGGCUCAUGAUCAAGAGGGUAGUACAAUAAAUGUGGGACGUGCUAAUUUAAUGGGAGCAUCUUCGUUACUUGUCGCUCCAAAAAAUUUCAAAUUAUCUUUUGCUCCAAAAGAUUUUCAUAUAUUUUUAUCAAUCAUGUAAAAUAUCAAUUUGUGACAAUGCGAGUAAAAUUAUUAAACCUAAAUUGCGAUAUCACACAAAAACCCACUAUUUCGGUUAAACUUAAUGAUUACUACAACAAAAUUAUCUCAAAUUGGAUAAGAUAUAUAGUAGGAUAUAUAAAAGAGAUUUUCAAAAUCUUUAAACUCUGAGUGAUACGUACAUGAACAAACACUGGAUUUUGACAAACAAACAAAUUACCCUACCUAGAUUUAUCCUUAUCCAUAUUAUGUAUUUCAAAAAAAGCACUAUAUAUAAACGUGAUUUUUCUCCCAGAUUUACUGUGUGUGAAAAAAUGGAGGUUAGAGGAGGAGCCAUAUUUUUUAUUUGUGUAUCGUGGUUUUCAUUAGGUUUAGCUGAGUACGUUGAAGUGAGAGUCAAGGGAGUGACUUCCAUAGCCACCACAGAUGAUAACUUCAUCUGUGCAACUUUGGACUGGUGGCCUGCUGACAAAUGUGACUACGAUCAGUGCCCAUGGGGGAAGGCUGGCAUUUUUAAUCUGGUUUGUAGCGUCUUUUUCUCCAUUGAACACUGCUUAACUUCUUAUUGUUAACGAGUCUUUUCUCGUUAUGUUUUCUAGUCGUACUCUUUCAUCUUCUAAAUAAACAAAUUGGUGAGGAUCUUAAACUUUGCUCGUAUUUGCAGGAUUUGAGUAACAAGAUCUUGCACAAUGCUGUCAAGGGUAAGUGUUUCCGAGUAACACUUUGAGAAUUCGAUUAUCGAAACUCUGACGUUUAGUUCUGCUCGCCUAAUCCGUGAUUGGCUUCACUACUUUCGUUUUAAAAUUAGAAAACGAUGUGUUGAUGAAGGACUGAAUUUGUUGGAAAAUUUUCAGCUUUCAAUCCAAUGAGAAUCAGAGUUGGAGGCUCAUUGCAAGAUCAGGUCAGUUAUGGUGUAGGGUUUGGAGACAAAUCAUGCAACCGUUUCAAGAAAAAUGAUUCGGGAUUGUUCGGAUUCAGCGAAGCUUGCCUUCACCAUAAAAGAUGGGAUGAGCUCAAUCAGUUCUUUAACAAAACAAAGUAUGAUAAUUUCUCCAUAAAAAGCAAUGCAGGAAAUAAGAUGGCACUUUGAUUUACUAAACACUCACACGUUCAUUUUUUGCAGAGCUAAGGUCACAUUUGGUUUGAAUGCCUUGCAUGGGAAGAAAGUGUCUUCUGAAGACAAAAGUCUUCGAAUCGGUGAUUGGAACGCUCAAAAUUCUCGUGAUCUGAUGGAGUACACAAUUGCAAAGGGAUACGAGAUUGAUUCAUAUGAGCUUGGUAAAUGACUUUUGUUUUGUUUUUUUAAAUGCGGACUUUUUUUAGUAGUUAAUCGCUCUGUAGAAGGAUUGUGAGUUCGAUAUAUGUAACUGUUGCUCAUUUGACUGCAAAUGCCAACAGGGAAUGAGCUAUCCGGGAGUGGAGUAUCUGCAAGAAUAGAAAGUGAGCAAUAUGCAAAAGACAUGACAAAGCUCAAAGAAGUUGUGACAGAAUUGUACCCCGAUGCCUCAAAUCGACCUAAGGUUUUAGGCCCUGCUGGAUUUUACGACAAGAAAUGGUUCGAAAACUUCCUGCAGGCCACGGGGCCAGGCGUUGUUGAUGGUGUAACUCAUCACUUAUACAAUCUUGGUGCAGGUAAUACAAAUAUUACUAAUCAUCAAUAAGUAUUGAUCAUUGGCAGAAAAAUGUCUGAUUUGGGGAAAAUCUUAUGAUUUUUUUCUGGUGUUCAUCCCGAGCUUAUCGACAAGGUUCAAGAUCCAUUUUUUCUGUCAGAGAUAGCUCAAACAUUGUACGACUUGUCGAAUACAAUCCAGCAGUUUGGGCCAUGGUCAGAAGCUUGGGUUGGGGAAGCAGGUGGAGCUUAUAACAGUGGUGGCAAAGAUGUCUCACAUACUUUUGCUGAUGGCUUUUGGUAAACACAUUUUUUGCCUUUACAAUUUGGGAACUGAAUUUUGCACUCCUUUGUUCUCUCCGUGUACAUUAUGGAGUGACAGAAAAAACGAGAGUGUGAAAAUCGAUACCCGAAAAUCUAUGAGCAAAUAUAAACAAAUGUGACUUUGAUUGAAAUAGGUAUUUGGACCAGCUUGGCAUGACAUCAACCUACAACCACAAGGUUUACUGCCGACAAGCCUUGAUUGGAGGGAACUAUGCUCUGCUUAACACCACCACAUUCAUCCCUAAUCCCGAUUAUUACGGGUUCGAAUCUCCGCCUUAAAUUUGAAAUGGUUAUCAAACAGUACCGAAGUUCUUAAACUUUUCUAAAUCUUUUCUGUUGCUUUUUCCCCUACCAGUGCACUCUUGUGGCAUAGACUAAUGGGAACUAGGGUUCUUUCCACCAUGAACUUUGGCUCUCCUUAUCUGAGAGCAUAUUGCCAUUGCACAAAGAAUCAGGUACCUCAAACCCUAAUUAGCCUUUCCUUUAUUAACAUUUAUAGCAUCUUAACAUAUUUUGUUACAGAAAGGGGUCACACUACUUCUGAUCAACAUGUCCAACGCCACCACCUUCGACGUCGCUGUUCUCCCCGACUAUAAUUUGUACCCGAGGCAAAUACUUACGACCAGAAAGUACGGUGCUAAUGAUGAACCAGAAAGAGAAGAGUAUCAUUUGACACCAGAAGGUGGCAACAUUCAAAGUGAUGUGGUAUUGCUCAAUGGAACUCCUUUGAAACUCACAAACUCAUCAGACAUUCCGGAAAUGAAACCAAAACUCGUUGAUCCCACUUCGACGAUCAGCGUCGCAGCGGAUUCAAUCGUCUUUGUAUCUAUAAAAAAUUUCCAUGCCCCGGCCUGCGCUUAAUCGAAUAUCUUUCUUACGUUUUUUUUUUGGUUCCACCUUUCUUUGUUCUUUAGAUUAAAGGUUUCAAGUAUUGGUAGGGUUAAUUUGCAGUGCCUUUUUUAUGUAAUUUUAAGUACUUUUUUCGAAACAGAAGAGUAGCAUAAACUUUUCAUGGAAUUUUUCUUAAGAAUUCCGAAAGCUAAGAAUCAUUGCAAAGAAGAAAUACUUUCCUUUCACCAGGAAACCCUAACUUGUGUGCAAAGUAACCUCAAGCUUUCUUGCCAGCAUUGCCCUAAAACUAGCCUAUGAACUAGCUUUAAACAAGCAUCUCUUCUCUAAUCUUAUCCUUCAAAUAUCCUUCAAAUAAACACCAAACUAUGAGCAACAAAUCCUUAAUUCACAGAGAAGAAAAUUCGGGGCUCGUUUCUUCGGAAAGAAUAGAUUGAUCAACCAAAUAAGGUAAUUCGCCCCUUAACCCCGAAAAUAUUCGACUUUGUUUCGAUUAUGUAAUUAUGAUUACUAUUUGUAACUAGAGGAUCAUAUCCGUUUAUAUUUGACUAAUCACUAUUGUUAGGAUGAGAUUCUCCGGCGCAGGACGAGAAGACUGAAGAGUCCGGCAGCGUCUACGACCUGCAGAAAACUUAGUUUUUCAAAGGUAAUACAUGGCUCUUUGUCUCUGCAUAAUAUACAAAUUUUCUGGUUUGGAAACAACUUUUCUCAGUGGUUUAAGCUAUUUCUUGCAGAGAAAAGGAAACCCGAACUGGUUCCAGAGACAGCUCUAAGCAAAAAUGAGUCAAGACUACGAUGCUAACAGAGCAAUGGAGCAUGCAACUGCGGUGGCAGCUGCUGCAUUUGCCAUUAAAUCAAUUGAAGAUUCGGCCAUCUCUGACAAGGAAAUGGCGGGCAAUGAGCGUAAACCAAAUUUGGUGAGGAUCACGAGCGGAAAGGAAGAAACGGCAAUUUCAAAGCCGGAACCUGGAAUAUUUUCCAAAAUAUUCUCAGGUAAAAAUAUCUAAUAACAUUGUUAACGACCCUAAACACGGAUUUUCCGGUUUUUAAGCCAGAACCAAGAUUUUCUGUAUUAGGUGCAGGUUCGAGGAAAAGUACUCCAGCACAAGAAGAUCCAGAUGGUAAGGUGCCAAUAAGCAUUGCCACAACCGGGAAGAGCCCAGAAAAGGCUGUCCUUCCUGACAGUAUAAAACGUCAAACUGCACCACCGCCGCCACCACCACCACCACCCCCCCUUCGACCCCCAUCUAUCAAGAGAACUCCAACUUUUGAUGAUAAACGGUCGAGCAGCGCUGGCGGUGUAAAACCUGAAACUGCAGCAGCAAAACCCAAUUUGUCUGCCACUACGAAACCCGAAAGUCCUUGGGAUGAAACCAAGAAGCCGACUUCAACAGGACCUGGAACAAGGAAAACACAAGCAGAUAUUUGGGAAGAAACCAAGAUUGCUAGACUCAAAGCAAGGUAGCUACUCAUCAUCGGCGAUCAUUUUGCAUAAUUUAUAGUUCAAACAUUCUGUCACAUUCAGGUUCUGACAGCCAUUAUUGUCAGGUAUGAGAAGCAAAAGGCCACAAUACUUGCAUGGGAGAACAACAAGAAGACGAAAUGCAGAAAACGUCUCGAUAAAAUAAAGGUUUUGCUUCAUUUUAUUUUCAUAUACAAUCAAAAUUAAGAUCAUGAACUAAUAAUCCACUUAUUGGAACAGCAAGGUGAAGUAGCGGAAAAAAGAGAAAAAGCACUACGAAAGUUCAGCGCAGAGAUGGAAUAUAUCAAAGAGAUUGCAGACGGAGCUAGGGCACAGGCAGCAGAGAGGCACAGAAAUGGUGUCUUGAAGGUGAAACAAAAGGCAAAUGAAAUGAGAAGAACAGGGAAAGCUCCUACAACAUGCUUCUGCUUCUAAUUAGACCAAUUACUCACCUACUUUCGAGUGUAAAUAUUUUUAUCAAGAUACUGUAUUUUCACAGAGAGUCAAUCACAAUAAGAUGGCAGUUCCACCGCAUGGUUAGCUGCCCCAUAUUUAAAACGAGUAUAAAUAAAACACAAAGGAAUUUCCCAAUUACAAACAAACUAAUAGACACUCAUUUCAUAUGGUAAAUUACACUUCAAAGUCGUAUAUUCAUUUUCUCCGGAUUUCAAAUAAGCAUGUAUGUAAUCCACUACGAUAUAUUUCAAUACCUCAUCUAAAAUCACUUGAGAGCAAUAAUCUUGAGAGUACUCAAGCUUGGGCAGAAGGAAAUCAGCUACUUCAAACAAAUAAUGAUAGUUACAGUAGUGACAAUCGUUUAGACACAGAAGUCGGAACUUACAAAUUACCCAAGAAACUUCCCACUAAACUCUUGAAACUUCCACCAUCAUACGCACGAGAUCUGAGAAGGAUGUGGAUAGCAAAGACUCAGGUUGAUGGGUCACGAGGUUAUCUCCUUUACCAGCCUCUCCAAAAUAGGGUAUGCAAAGUACAAUAACAAGAACGAUGGGAUUGCAAAAACCACUGUGAGUAACAAGUAGAUUGCCAAAACUAUAGCACUGCCAGGUAUUGCAAAAAAUGCAAUCACGAGAAACAAUAUGACUAAUGGGAACUUGGAUGUAAUGUGAAUGAAGCAAUCCAAAGACUUGUGCAGGGAGAAUAGAUGCCGCUCCACACGGCCACCUCUAUCAUCACGGUUAUACCUUGAUAGUGAAGGACAACUAGAAUGGUUCCUCCUCAGGUUACCAUUGCCAGCUUGAUUUCCUAUAGCGAAACUUGCUCUUGGAGAACCAAUUUGUUGGUUUUCCCCACUGAUUGCAGGAACAAACUUUACCCUAUCACCAUUAAAGCUCUCAACCAUCCACAGAAGGAAGAAAUUCUUGCGAGGAAACUUUAGAUUACCCUUAUAAAUCAGCCGCAAAGACAACAGGUAGCACCAAGGGCAAGAAAUGAAGAAUGGUAUCUUAAACUUUUGAGAGGAAAACUUUACAGUGGCCCAUUGAAGCCCCAAGACACAGUUUCUGCACAGGGUAUGGCCGCACCAUAAGACAUGGGGCACAUUCUCGACAAUGUUGAAAGAUUCCAGGCAUAUAGGGCAUUCUAACCCUUCCUCUCGGCUUGAAUUCGAGCAGACUUCAUCAUCCGAGGAGUCCAAGCAUACCCGACUUGGCUCUGAUGAGCUUCUUUUUAGUCCAAUGCUUGUGAUGGCAUUUGAAGCAAAACCCCACAUCCUAACAAACAAAUCAGGCCGAUACAAACGAAGGGGUUAAAUGAUAAAACCCUAAAGAACAUGCAACAGCAUUCGGCCAAGAAACAUGAAUGUUCAAAAAUCCUUUAAGUCCUGUCAACAACAAGCUAGUUUAUAGAGAAAUUCUAGGAUAAACGACAACAUAAAAGAAAUAUAGUUUGUAUUUCCACAAAUUUGAUUAUCCUUUUGCAAUGUGAAUAAGUAAUUUAUUCAACAAACAUAGUAUGAAUUACAGCAAGCAUGCAUUGGAAUCCCCAAAACAAUAGACCAAUCCAACACCAAAAUGCCUUAAUGACGAAAAAUAUGUCCGAAUCGAGACACCGCAAUUCUUUCACAAUAGCCUUUUCACAGUAGAGUCCUUAAUACACCAGUUCAACUGGACACCUUAUAAUUUGUUUAAUCACUUUCCAUAUACUGGGGAACAUGAAAUCCUCUACCAUUCUCUAAGCUUAACAUUAUAAUUCUUAAUUUCUGCACAAUACAGCAUAAGUUUACCAAAAAUUACCCAAAAACCCCAAUUAAGACGUCACAGUUGAAUUCUGAUGGAGAAACCAAAGCGCUAGGAUAGAACUACCCAACAAACAAUUAAGCAAAAUAUGAUUUGGGUCGCAAGGAAUUUGAACGGUGACACCGUUGACAAGCGAAAUUAACACGCUUUUACAAUCAACCGAACAAACAAUCAUUGCAAUUCAACACCUCAAUGCGGCAAAUUUUUACGUAGAUUCGAAUCGAUGAUAAAAUAAAAUAAAAAUUAAGACAUAAAAGGACGAUUUGGAGGUCAAAAUCUCACCUUUUAACGAGAUUGACUGAAAUUCCAAGGGGAUUUGGAAAGAAAGCGGCAGAUGAUGAACAAGCGAGCAGCUCGGUUCCUCUGUAUCUCCGAUCGUCGUAGCUGCCUCGCGUGUUAAAAAAUGGCAAAGAUGCCGUGGAGAAUGUAACGGUGUUAAAAAUGCGGGUAGGUGCCAGGUGGCGAAGCCCGUGUCACAAGGAUUCUGGUUAGCUCUUUUGUUGGGUGAAAAGAGAUCUUAUCCGAAUCUCUUUCAUCAAGGUCACCAGAUUAAAUGAUCCGGACCUUUAAAAUUUCAUUCAACGAUAAAAAAUUAUUAUAAUUUUUAAAUUAUCAAAACAAAUAGAUCGUUUGAUGAAAUUUCAAAGGCCGGAUCAUUUGAUCCGAUGACCUUGAUGUCCUUAUUGGAAAACAAAAGCGCAAACAGAGUGGCCGUUGGCCAAUAGGAGAAUAACAAAUUAAAUAUUUUUUAGUGAAAAAAUAGAUUAAAUAUUUUUAUUUUUAAACAAAAAUAAUAAUUAUUCAAUGCUAUUUGGUGUGUGUUCCCAAGAAAAAUCAAUGUUUUGUUGAGCAGACCUGAUAUAAGUAUAGAUGGGUUGGUUUGAUGUGUCUAACUAUCACCUAAAUCUGAUUAGAUUAUGUUUAGAGACACCAAUUAGGCAUUGGACAUUGAUUUUAUUGACUUGGAACGAGGGAAGUUAUUGAAUCGAAUAAGUUAUGUAUUGUCGAUAAAACAAAUGUGUAUAUUAGUUGGUUCUUGUUAAUCAAUUUAAUUUCUUUUAGGUAUCUGAUUACGAAUUACAAUGUAAAAUUUAUUAUAUUAUAUUAUGCACGUAUUACCUAACUCAUAAAAUUUAAGAAAUAGUAACAAUUCCAAGUAAAUAAACAUGUUUGUUAAUAUAGCAAAAUAUUUUUAUCUUAUGAGGAAGGAUUAACUAUGGGCCUCUUCUAAUAUUAUAGAAAAAAAUAUUAAUAAGAUAAUAAUUGGAUUAUUUAACAAAUUUAGAAAUGAGAUCUAUGAAAUAUUUAAGGGAUAUUUAAUAUAUUUACACAACAAAGAUAAGUAUUUCAAAUUACAAAAAUUAAUUUAUGCAAACACCACUUUACUUAUUUAGCAAGAAAUACAAAAAUACAUAUUGAAAUACAGAGGGCUCCACACAGAGGAAGGGAGGCCCAGGACCAUAAGUCCAUUCUAGCCCAAAACAAGCCGGAAAACAAAAAGAAGGCCCAAAGUAGCCCAAAAUAGAAUACAGAAAAUCAGAAACAAACUAUGAUCAUCAACCCAAGAAGACGAAAGAACUUCCAUGCAACGAGAAUAUUGCUCGUGGCGAUACAUCAAUCGAAUCAUACUAUACUUUGUGACAAGUAUGCACUGCAUGAUUGACUUGCAUUGUCACUUUAGUGGUAUCUCAGUGUGUGUAAGUUUCUCGAAGUGAGCUUAAUUAACUUCACGUAAUUAGUGAUUAAUGAUAAUCAUCAGAUUAGCCCUUCCAGAAACCCUGAGCCAUCUUCAGAUAGCCCCCAACUCCACCACCACCAUCCUCUUCACCGUCAUCCUUUUUAGUGGGCUUCUUCGGGCCCCCACCGCUCUCAUUUGAAUCAUUACUUUUCUUCUUCUUCUCCUCAGAAGCUGAAGAAUGAGAAACAGAAGUUUUGGGGCCACCUCCCUCACCUUCUUGGCCGCCGCCACCAUACUUGCGAAGCAUAUCCUCUGCCUUGCUGAGGUAACUCCCGAUGCCUUCUUUGUCGUCGAAACCGCCGUACGCAGAGGCAGCACCUAGAAUGGUACUGGCAGCCUUGCAAACCUCAGCUUUGUCGAACUUGUCCCCUUUAUUAGCGCCCGCCACAAUCUUCGCACUCGACAUCACCUCCCCCAUUGAUGGCUUUUCACCUUUCUCCUUCGCUCCUCCCGCUUUCGCUUUCUCCGCCCCCACACCACCAACAUGUUUCCCGUCAGUGCCCACUUUCCGCUCACGAUGUUCACUCUGCUCAUCCUUUUCAUCCCCAUAAGUUGACUUUGAUGGUUUAGCAGCAACAGCUUUUUUCUCGAGGUAUUGAUCAUCCUCCACAUCCCCAUCUUUUUCAGGUUUCGCGCCUUUGGCUGCUUUCCCGGCAGAACCCGAGCUAGGUUUUUUUUCGCGAUGUUCCUGAUCAUCUUCAUCUCCAUAACCCUCAGAACCAUAAGCUUGUUUCGCAGCGGCCUUUGGUUUGCCAGGUUUUCUUUGGCCAUAUUCAUCCUGAUCAUCUUCUCCCCCAUACUCUUCACUUGAACCGUAAGCCGCUUUCACAGCAGCUUUCGGCUUGUUGGGUUUCCUCUCGCCGUAUUCAUCUUCAUCUUCCGUCGAACCGUAAGUCGCCGCCGCUUUCGCAACGGUUUUCGGCUUGUUGGAUUUUCGCUCGCCGUAUUCAUCUUCAUCUUCCGUUGAACCGUAAGCCGUUUUCGCAGCGGCUUUCGGCUUGUUGGGUUUUGUCUCGCCGUAUUCAUCUUCAUCUUCCCUCGAACCGUAAGCCGCUUUCGCAGCCGCUUUCGGCUUGUUGGGUUUUCUCUCGCCGUAUUCAUCUUCAUCUUCCGUCGAACCGUAAGCCGCUUUCGCAGAGGCUUUCGGCUUGUUGGGUUUUCUCUCGUCGUAUUCAUCUUCAUCUUCCGUCGAACCGUAAGUCGCCGCCGCUUUCGCAACGGUUUUCGGCUUGUUGGAUUUUCGCUCGCCGUAUUCAUCUUCAUCUUCCGUUGAACCGUAAGCAGUUUUCGGAGCGGCUUUCGGUUUGUUGGGUUUUGUCUCGCCGUAUUCAUCUUCAUCUCCCGUUGAACCGUAAGCAGUUUUCGGAGCGGCUUUCGGCUUGUUGGGUUUUGUCUCGCCGUAUUCAUCUUCAUCUUCCCUCGAACCGUAAGCCGCUUUCGCAGCGGCUUUCGGCUUAUUGUGGUUUCUCUCGCCGUACUCAUCUUCAUCUUCCGUCGAACCGUAAGCUGCUUUCGCAGAGGCUUUCGGCUUGUUGGGUUUUCUCUCGUCAUAUUCAUCUUCAUCUUCCCUCGAACUGUAAGCUGCUGAUGAUUUCGGUUUGCUGGAUUUUCUCUCACCAUGUCGGUCUCGAUCUUCUUCGUCGCCAUACUCUUCGCGAGAACCGCCGUAAGCUGGUUUUAUCUGCCGAUGUUGGCUUUGGUCAUCUUCGUCUACGUACCCUCCUCCAGCAGGUUUCGAUUUGGUCAUAUUUCUCUGGCGGGGUUGACUAUGAGCUCCUUCUUCCUCCUCGUAAUCUUCAGAACCAUGAUGCCGAUCCAUUGAUUAAUUCAAAGAAAAUGUAGCAGUGCCUUGUUAAUUUUUCUGUAAGUGAUGAGAAAUUGAGUAGCUUGUUGGUGAAUAUAUACGCAUGCCUCUCUCGACUUUGUGAAGUACCCGUUUUCAACGGGUUAUUCACAAGCAACUUCUAUUUUGGGUGGUGUUAAUUGAUGGUUCAAUUUUUUCUUAUUCUUCAAUUAUCAUAGAUUGUAGAAAGCCAAAUAUUGGUUGGACACGGGUUUUCUCUGUCGACCACUCAUUUCUGGAGAGAAACUUCGGUAGAGCAGAAAAUCAGCAUGUAUGAUCUCUCGCAUUGAAAUUUAUACUUAUGUUAUGCACUAGAAGUUAUACUUGCAUGGAGCCGGAUGGUACUUGAAUACAGAGAAUUUCUAAUGCUACAAUGUAUUACAAUGGUUGCAUAACUUGCAUUAUUUGAUUAAGCAUGCGAUGCCGUUCAGAGAUUCUAGCAUGUAACAUAACUUGCAUUGUUUCAUUAGACGAUUAGUGUCGCGUAGAGACUCUAACGUGUAACCGAUGUGAUCUCUCCGAUCUUAAGAUUUGGAUACAUCUACUGAUCUACACACAAACACAGUUACUUCAUUUUUUGGGAAAGAAAUACAUACACUGAUACAUAUAAGGACUGGGUCCGAAACAGCACACCCCAAAUCAAAUGCAGACACUCAAACAAACUUUAUCUAACAUCAUAAUUAAGUAAACAACUUAAGCCAAAUUAAGUGAAAGUUCCGGAGGAAUAAGCAUAAUUAACGUUACUUAAUUAGUGAUUAAUUAUGACGAUCGUCACUUCUUCAAGAAACCCUGAGCAACCUUAAGGUAAUCCCCAACCCCACCUGAUCCACCCUCCUCCUCCUCCUCCUCAUCCUCCUUUUUACUAGGUUUCUUCCUAGUCUCAUGCUCUCCGCUCACCGGAUAGUUCUCAUCAUCGUCUCUUCUGUCCUUCCCCAUACUAGACUUAUAAGACUCAGAAGAAUUGUGACUUCCUCCUCCGCCGCUUUCACCGUCACCGCCGCUGCCGUACUUGCGGAGCAUAUCCUCGGCCUUACCAACAUAACUCCCAAGUCCUUCUUUCUCGUCCAGCUUGCCAUAGUGUGCGGCACCGCUUAAGAUGUUACUAGCAGCCUCGGAAACCCUAGCUCUGUCGAUAUUUUCGUCGCCCCCUUUGUUCAUCGAAGAUUUGGCUGCUUCCGCCACAAUCUUUGCACUCGACAUCAGCUCACUCGUCGUCGGUGGCGCACGUCCCGGCUUCCCGUGGUGACCCUCCGUCGCGGACUUUCUCUCGCCGCCGUACUGAUCUUCCUGGUCUUUGUCCCCGUAACCUCCAGACCCGUGGCGACCCUCCAUGGCGGAUUUUCUCUCGCCACCGCACUGAUCUUCCUGGUCUUUGUCCCCGUAACCUCCAGACCCGUGGCGACCCUCCGUGGCGGAUUUUCUCUCGCCACCGUAUUGAUCUUCCUGGUCUUUGUCCCCGUAACCUCCGGAAGAGAAAGCUGCUGAAAGCCGAUCCAUUAAUGAGUGAAGAAAGGUAGAAGUGCUUUUGCUUGCGAGGAGGGUUUGCUAAAACGGGUUGAAGGUGAUGAUAUUUAAUACUGACUUGCUCUUGCUUUAUGGGUGGAUGGAUGGAUAAUUAAAAAUAUUUAUGAUUGUCGGUAGGAAAUAAAUCUGUCGGCAAGA
rnacentral:lncRNA from 1 species